rnacentral:rRNA from 1 species
UUGAACGCUAGCGGUAUGCUUAACACAUGCAAGUCGAACGGAAACGAUACUAGCUUGCUAGUAGGCGUCGAGUGGCGGACGGGUGAGUAACGCGUAGGAAUCUGCCUGAUAGUGGGGGAUAGCCCGAAGAAAUUCGGAUUAAUACCGCAUAAUCUAUUCGUAGUAAAGUGGGGGACUUUCGAGCCUCACGCUAUCAGAUGAGCCUGCGUAAGAUUAGCUUGUUGGUGGGGUAAAAGCCCACCAAGGCGACGAUCUUUAGCUGGUCUGAGAGGAUGAUCAGCCACAUCGGGACUGAGACACGGCCCGAACUCCUACGGGAGGCAGCAGUGGGGAAUAUUGGACAAUGGGGGCAACCCUGAUCCAGCAAUACCGCGUGUGUGAAGAAGGCCUGAGGGUUGUAAAGCACUUUCAAUUGUGAAGAAAAGUUAGCGGUUAAUAACCGUUAGCCUUGACGUUAACUUUAGAAGAAGCACCGGCUAACUCCGUGCCAGCAGCCGCGGUAAUACGGAGGGUGCAAGCGUUAAUCGGAAUUACUGGGCGUAAAGCGUGCGUAGGCGGUUUAUUAAGUCAGAUGUGAAAGCCCCGGGCUUAACCUGGGAACUGCAUUUGAAACUGGUCAACUAGAGUAUGGUAGAGGAAAGUGGAAUUUCUGGUGUAGCGGUGAAAUGCGUAGAUAUCAGAAGGAACAUCAAUGGCGAAGGCAGCUUUCUGGACCAAUACUGACGCUGAGGUACGAAAGCGUGGGUAGCAAACAGGAUUAGAUACCCUGGUAGUCCACGCCGUAAACGAUGAUAACUAGCCGUUGGGGGGAUUUACCCUUUAGUGGCGAAGCUAACGCGUUAAGUUAUCCGCCUGGGGAGUACGGCCGCAAGGUUAAAACUCAAAGGAAUUGACGGGGACCCGCACAAGCGGUGGAGCAUGUGGUUUAAUUCGAUGCAACGCGAAGAGCCUUACCUGGUCUUGACAUCCUGCGAACUUUCUAGAAAUAGAUUGGUGCCUUCGGGAACGCAGUGACAGGUGCUGCAUGGCUGUCGUCAGCUCGUGUCGUGAGAUGUUGGGUUAAGUCCCGUAACGAGCGCAACCCCUAUCCUUAUUUGCCAGCACAUCAUGGUGGGAACUAUAAGGAGACUGCCGGUGAUAAACCGGAGGAAGGCGGGGACGACGUCAAGUCAUCAUGGCCCUUACGACCAGGCUACACACGUGCUACAAUGGGAAGGACAAAGAGCCGCGAAGCCGCGAGGUGUAGCUAAUCUCAUAAACCUUUUCGUAGUCCGGAUUGGAGUCUGCAACUCGACUCCAUGAAGUCGGAAUCGCUAGUAAUCGUAGAUCAGAAUGCUACGGUGAAUACGUUCCCGGGUCUUGCACACACCGCCCGU